GACGAACUGUGCGAACGUUGUUCGGAAUCACUGGGCUUAAAGGGUGCGUAGGCGGCUCGUUAAGUCGGGGGUGAAAUACUUCGGCUCAACCGGAGAAUUGCCUUCGAUACUGGCGGGCUUGAGGAAGGUAGGGGUCGCGGGAACUGCCAGUGGAGCGGUGAAAUGCGUUGAUAUUGGGAAGAACACCUGAGGCGAAGGCGGGUUGCUGAGCCGACACUGACGCUGAGGCGCGAAAGCCAGGGGAGCAAACGGG
rnacentral:rRNA from 1 species